rnacentral:rRNA from 1 species
UACGGGGGGGCAAGCGUUGUUCGGAAUUACUGGGCGUAAAGGGCGCGUAGGCGGCUUGCACCGUUGGAUGUGAAAUUCCUGGGCUUAACCUGGGGGCUGCAUUCGAGACUGCAUGGCUAGGAUGCGGAAGAGGGAAGCGGAAUUUCCGGUGUAGCGGUGAAAUGCGUAGAUAUCGGAAGGAACACCAGUGGCGAAAGCGGCUUCCUGGU